rnacentral:lncRNA from 10 species
GCGAAGGCUGCAGCGCGCCCGGCAGCCGGGAUGCAGCGGCGCCGCCCAAGCCUGGGGCGCAGGGGUCGGGGCACACGGGGAUAGGCCCGACGCGGGGCCGAAGGAAGGGUGGUCUUUCCCGCAGAGUUGCCGCUGGAGGACCGAAAGUUUUGCAGGCAGCCCUUGCUUCCAGCUUGUCGCUCUCUCCCCGCGUCCCUGUCGCCCAACGCGAGGCGCCCCCGCUGGGGUCCCGACGGCUUGGUGGGGAGGAGCCGUGAGGGGUUGCGCCCCCCACCCCCACCCGAGCCAGGGAAGGGACCCUGGUGACCUCGCCUCCCAGCCCUCACCCCCGUCACCCCUUUCUUCUCUUUCCUGGAGGACUUUGGACCAUGGAGAUUCUGCAGUUGUUGCUCUAGGAGCUGAAACCAGUGGGUAGAUGUCGUUCUGAAACGCAGUUCUUCUUUUUGUAAAGGUGUGUCCUGAGGAACCUCAGAUUUGAAAGAAGAGUGAAUGGAAGUCAAAUGUGGAAACCACUCAAAUGUCCAUCAACUGAUGAAUGAAUAAACAAAUCAUGGUAUAUCCAUACAAGGAAUAUUAUUCACCCAUAAAAAGGAAUGAAGUCUUAAUACACCUACAACUGGAUGAACAUUGAAAACAUUAUGCUAUCCAUUCUGCUUCAGGUUGGAAAAAAAAAUACGAUCCUUACCUAAAGAAGCCAUCUACAAAAGGCCACAUAUUGUGUGAUUAUAUCAUAUGACCAGAAUACGCAAAUUCAUAGAGACAGAAAGCAGAUUAAUGGUUGCCAGGAACUGGGGGAAGGGGAGGAAUGAGGAGUGACUAACUGUGUUUUUCCCAUUGUGAUUAAAAAAAAAGUUCUGGAACCAGAUAGUGGUGAUGGUUGCACAACAUUGUGAAUGUACUCAGUACCACUGAAUUGUACACUUUAAAAUGGUCAGUUUUGGCUGGGCACGGUGGCUCACGCCUGUAAUCCCAGCACUUUGGGAGGCUGAGGCAGG